AUAACUAACAUGACUGUCAGAUGGGUAACUAACUAACACAACAUGACUGUCAGAUGGGUAAAUAACACAACAUGACUGUCAGAUGGGUAAAUAACACAACAUGAAUGUCAGGUGGGUAAAUAACACAACAUGACUGUCAGGUGGGUAAAUAACACAACAUGACUGUCAGAUGGGUAAAUAACACAACAUGACUGUCAGAUGGGUCAAUAACUAACAUGACUGUCAGAUGGGUAAAUAACUAACACAACAUGACUGUCAGGUGGGUAAAUAACACAACAUGACUGUCAGAUGGGUAAAUAACACAUGACUGUAAGAUGGGUAAAUAACUAACAUGACUGUCAGAUGGGUCAAUAACUAACAUGACUGUCAGAUGGGUAAAUAACUAACACAACAUGACUGUCAGAUGGGUAAAUAAGACAACAUGACUGUCAGAUGGGUAAAUAA